UUAUAAGAGACAGCAGUCGCCACGGGAAUACGAAGGGUGCAAGCGUUACUCGGAAUUACUGGGCGUAAAGCGUGCGUAGGUGGUGGUUUAAGUCCGUUGUGAAAGCCCUGGGCUCAACCUGGGAAUUGCAGUGGAUACUGGGUCACUAGAGUGUGGUAGAGGAUAGUGGAAUUUCCGGUGUAGCAGUGAAAUGCGUAGAGAUCGGAAGGAACAUCUGUGGCGAAGGCGACUAUCUGGGCCAACACUGACACUGAGGCACGAAAGCGUGGGGAGCAAACAGGAUUAGAUACCCCAGUAGUCCCUGUCUCUUAUAC
rnacentral:rRNA from 1 species